rnacentral:lncRNA from 1 species
AAAAUUAGGCACUCGAUGUGAAAAAGAAAUUAGAAAUAAAAAAGAAAUUUGACGAUCAAGUAUGAUAUAUAGAUAAGAUAAUAUCCAUGCCCUUGCCAUCUCUUUGUUCCCCCAAAUGCCUCUAGAUUUGGCCCAUCAAUAAUGCUAAUAGUAGUGCCUCCCUUACAUCUUCGAGCAGGAGCAGUAUGUUGUCACUCUUGGC